UAUCCCUCCUCCUUCUCUCUCUUUCCCUUUCUUUGCAAAACCCUAUAGCCGCCGCCUGCUCCAUCUUUCUCUCUCGUCUAAAUAUGGUAAAAUCACAGAGUAGAUGUAAGACACACAGCUUUUGCAGAAUCAUUUACAUGAAACAAUUAAUUUCAAGGUUUGUUUUCACCCAGAUCUCUCCCAAAUGCGGUGUGGGAUUUGGACGCAUUAAAAGCUGUAAGUUCAACUCUUGACACGGCUGCGCAUAAAAAAGAAUCCAGCCACCCUAUUGGGCCAAUAGGAAAUUCUUUCACCGAUUAUUGAUUUCAAGAGAAGAAAUGGAAGCUAAUAUUGUUAAAAAACAUAAAGAAGGCCCAGCCAUGGGUGAAAAUGACCAACUAGGGGCUUGGUACGCCCCUAGUAUUCCCUUUCUCUUUAUUUACCCAUUAUUUGUUAUAUGUAAUUAGUUGUAUCCUGUAUUUGCAGAAUUGUAAAACUCAUGUAUAUUAUUGGAUCCUUAUGAUUAUGAAUUAGUCGUCUUAGCACAACGGUGCCUACGCCGUUUAGUUCGACUUAAGCCCCCACACGAUUUUCAAAUCCGAGCUU